UCCUACGGGAGGCAGCAGCUAAGAAUAUUCCGCAAUGGACGAAAGUCUGACGGAGCGACGCCGCGUGGAUGAUGAAGGCCGGAAGGUUGUAAAAUCCUUUUAUGACUGAGGAAUAAGUGAAGUGAGGGAAACGCUUCAUGGUGACUGUAGGUCAUGAAUAAGCAACGGCUAAUUACGUGCCAGCAGCCGCGGUAAUA
rnacentral:rRNA from 1 species